rnacentral:rRNA from 1 species
CACAAGGGGUGGAACCUGCGGCUCAAUUGGAGUCAACGCCUGGAAUCUCACCGGGGGAGACCGCAGGAUGACGGCCAGGCUAACGACCUUGCCAGACUCGCGGAGAGGAGGUGCAUGGCCGUCGCCAGCUCGUGUUGUGAAAUGUCCGGUUAAGUCCGGGAACGAGCGAGACCCCCACUUCUAGUUGGUAACCGUCUCUCCGGGAGCGGUCCACA